rnacentral:rRNA from 1 species
AGCAGUAGCCGCGGUAAUACAGAGGGUGCAAGCGUUAAUCGGAAUUACUGGGCGUAAAGCGCGCGUAGGUGGUUUGUUAAGUUGGAUGUGAAAUCCCCGGGCUCAACCUGGGAACUGCAUCCAAAACUGGCAAGCUAGAGUAUGGUAGAGGGUGGUGGAAUUUCCUGUGUAGCGGUGAAAUGCGUAGAUAUAGGAAGGAACACCAGUGGCGAAGGCGACCACCUGGACUGAUACUGACACUGAGGUGCGAAAGCGUGGGGAGCAAACAGGAUAAGAUACCCCGUAGUCCCUGUCUCUUAUACC